rnacentral:rRNA from 1 species
GUCGAGGGGCAGCGGGGGAGUAGCAAUACUCCCGCCGGCGACCGGCGCACGGGUGAGUAACACGUAUGAAACCUGCCCGUAGCAGGGGGAUAAGCGGAAGAAAUUCCGUCUAAUACCGCGUAACAACCCAUGGAGGCAUCUCCGUGGGUUUAAAGGAAGCGAUUCCGGCUACGGAUGGUCAUGCGUCGCAUUAGCUUGUUGGCGGGGUAACGGCCCACCAAGGCGACGAUGCGUAGGGGUUCUGAGAGGAAGGUCCCCCACACUGGUACUGAGACACGGACCAGACUCCUACGGGAGGCAGCAGUGAGGAAUAUUGGUCAAUGGCCGCAGGGCUGAACCAGCCAAGUCGCGUGAGGGAUGACGGUCCUAUGGAUUGUAAACCUCUUUUGUCAGGGAGCAAAGGGCGCCACGUGUGGCGUUUUGCGAGUACCUGAAGAAAAAGCAUCGGCUAACUCCGUGCCAGCAGCCGCGGUAAUACGGAGGAUGCGAGCGUUAUCCGGAUUUAUUGGGUUUAAAGGGUGCGCAGGCGGAAUGUCAAGUCAGCGGUAAAAUUUCGGGGCUCAACCCCGUCGUGCCGUUGAAACUGGCGUUCUUGAGUGAGCGAGAAGUAUGCGGAAUGCGUGGUGUAGCGGUGAAAUGCAUAGAUAUCACGCAGAACUCCGAUUGCGAAGGCAGCAUACCGGCGCUCAACUGACGCUCAUGCACGAAAGCGUGGGUAUCGAACAGGAUUAGAUACCCUGGUAGUCCACGCAGUANACGAUGAAUACUAACUGUCCGGGCAGNAUGAUGCCUGGGUGGUACAGCGAAAGCGUUAAGUAUUCCACCUGGGGAGUACGCCGGCAACGGUGAAACUCAAAGGAAUUGA